rnacentral:rRNA from 1 species
UACAUGGGGUGCAAACGUUGCUCGGAAUCAUUGGGCGUAAAGCGCGCGUAGGCGGUUGCCUAAGUCAGAUGUGAAAGCCCUCGGCUCAACUGGGGAAGUGCAUCUGAAACUGGGCAGCUAGAGUACCAAAGAGGGUCGCGGAAUUCCCGGUGUAGAGGUGAAAUUCGUAGAUAUCGGGAGGAACACCGGUGGCGAAGGCGGCGACCUGGGUGGAUACUGACGCUGAGGCGCGAAAGCGUGGGGAGCAAACAGG